ACUGCUCAGUAACACGUAGCUAACCCACCCUUGAGACGGAGAAAACCCCGGGAAACUGGGGCUAAUCCCCGAUAAGAGAAGACACCUGGAACGGGUCUCCUCUCAAAAGGCGUCUAUACCAUGCUUUUAGGCGCUGCUCAAGGGCGGGGCCGCGGCCGAUCAGGUUGUUGGUGAGGCAACGGCUUACCAAGCCUAUAACCGGUACGGGCCGUGAGAGCGGGAGCCCGGAGAUGGGCACUGAGACAAGGGCCCAGGCCCUACGGGGCGCAGCAGUUGCGAAAACUCCGCAAUGCACGAAAGUGUGACGGGGCUACCCCGAGUGCCGUCCGCUGAGGGCGGCUUUUCCCCGGUGUAAGGAGCCGGGGGAAUAAGGAGAGGGCAAGUCUGGUGUCAGCCGCCGCGGUAAUACCAGCUCUCCGAGUGGUAGGGACGAUUAUUGGGCUUAAAGCGUCCGUAGCCGGCCUGACAAGUCUUCCGUUAAAUCCAACGAUUCAAUCGUUGGACUGCAGGAGAUACUGUUGGGCUAGGGGGCGGGAGAGGUCGACGGUAUUCUCGGGGUAGGGGUAAAAUCCUAUAAUCCCGGGAAGACCACCAGUGGCGAAGGCGGUCGGCUAGAACGCGCUCGACGGUGAGGGACGAAAGCUGGGGGAGCGAACCGGAUUAGAUACCCGGGUAGUCCCAGCUGUAAACGAUGCCGGCUAGGUGUUGGAGCGGCUACGGGCCGCUUCAGUGCCGCAGGGAAACCAUUAAGCCCGCCGCCUGGGGAGUACGGCCGCAAGGCUGAAACUUAAAGGAAUUGGCGGGGGAGCAC
rnacentral:rRNA from 1 species